rnacentral:tRNA from 1 species
AACUAAGUGGCCGAAUAAGGCCUAAGUCUUUUAAACUUAUUAUAGUAUAUACUCUUAGUGA